UUUUAGCUAGCCAUUAUUAUUAUGAAACAGAGGAGUUUAUGCUUCCUAUCAGAGUUUAAAUCAGUUCUGGAUUGUGGUUGUUCUUUUAAAUUGUGUUCAGUUGAUCACUUUAUUUUCACUUAUUGGAAAAGAUUGAUGCCUGAUUAAAGCUACAUGAUAAUCAGCAAAGUGGAUAGGAAGUUUCCUCAAAGGCAUCCCUAGCCCUUCCCC
rnacentral:lncRNA from 1 species